rnacentral:rRNA from 1 species
GAAACGGAUUAAUAUUUCCGUACCUUGGAUAGCUGCGAUGGAGAGACGGAGAAGGCUAGGUGAGCCGGGCGUUGGUAGUCCCGGUGAAAGUGCGUAGGCUGAGGACUUAGGUAAAUCCGGGUCCUUAAGGCCGAGACACGAGACGAGCACCCAAGGGUGCGAAGUCAUUGAUGCCAUGCUUCCGGGAAAAGCCUCUAAGCUUCAGAUGAACAUUGACCGUACCCCAAACCGACACAGG